rnacentral:rRNA from 1 species
AACGGGGGGAGCUAGUGUUACUCAUCGUUACUGGGCGUAAAGGGUGCGUAGGCUGUCUUUUAUGUUUUAAUAAAAUAAUCUAAGCGUAACUUAGAAAUUUAUUAUUAUACAAUUAGACUAUUGAGGACAAAAAAAGUUGGUUGUAUUUUUAGUGGAAAGGUGAAAUUUUUAGAUAUUGAGAGGACAUCCUAUAGGCGAAAGCAACUGGCUAUAAUGUUACUGACGCUGAAGCACGAAAGCUUAGGUAUCAAACAGG